rnacentral:rRNA from 1 species
AUUGAACGCUGGCGGCAUGCCUUACACAUGCAAGUCGAACGGCAGCACGGGUGCUUGCACCUGGUGGCGAGUGGCGAACGGGUGAGUAAUACAUCGGAACAUGUCCUGUAGUGGGGGAUAGCCCGGCGAAAGCCGGAUUAAUACCGCAUACGUUCUACGGAUGAAAGCGGGGGACCUUCGGGCCUCGCGCUAUAGGGUUGGCCGAUGGCUGAUUAGCUAGUUGGUGGGGUAAAGGCCUACCAAGGCGACGAUCAGUAGCUGGUCUGAGAGGACGACCAGCCACACUGGGACUGAGACACGGCCCAGACUCCUACGGGAGGCAGCAGUGGGGAAUUUUGGACAAUGGGCGAAAGCCUGAUCCAGCAAUGCCGCGUGUGUGAAGAAGGCCUUCGGGUUGUAAAGCACUUUUGUCCGGAAAGAAAUCCUUGGCCCUAAUACGGUCGGGGGAUGACGGUACCGGAAGAAUAAGCACCGGCUAACUACGUG